GCAUCCGUUAGUACGGCGAGUGAAGCGGGAAGAGCUCAAAUUUGAAAUCUUCAAGGUUUGACCUUGACGAAUUGUAGUUUAUAGAAGUGUUUUCUGUUGGAGUUUUGGUAAAAGUUCUUUGGAAUAGGACAUCAUAGAGGGUGAGAAUCCCGUAUUUGACCAUGACUUUCCAGCUGUGUGAUACACUUUCAAAGAGUCGGAUUGUUUGGGAAUGCAGUCCAAAAUGGGUGGUAAAUUUCAUCUAAAGCUAAAUAUUGGCGAGAGACCGAUAGCGAACAAGUACCGUGAGGGAAAGAUGAAAAGAACUUUGAAAAGAGAGUUAAACAGUACGUGAAAUUGUCAAAAGGGAAGCGUUUGACACCAGUGUUGUUUUCUCGAAAAUCAAUUUAAUGAGUUCUUGUUUUUAAGUUAUUGUGACUUUAUCAGCGCAUUUCUUAUUUUACUUGACUCAUUGAAUGCACUUUUCGUUUAACAAGUCAACAUCAAUUUCUUUGGUGGUAAAAAGUUUAAAGGAAGGUGGCUUGGACUUCGGUUCAAGUGUUUAUAGCCUUUUUUCUAUGCCAUCGGAGAGAUUGAGGUCUGCAGCGUAGAUCCUUCGGGGUUAGAUACCUUUGUGCUAAGUUAUAGUUUUUUAUAGACAACUUGUUGACUAUAAUUAACCCUGUAAUUUACUCGCUUAGGCUAUUUUACCUACGCUUAGGAUGUUGACAAAAUGGUUUUAAACGACCCGUCU
rnacentral:rRNA from 1 species